rnacentral:rRNA from 1 species
GAUGAACGCUGGCGGCGUGCCUAAUACAUGCAAGUCGAGCGAAUGGAUUAAGAGCUUGCUCUUAUGAAGUUAGCGGCGGACGGGUGAGUAACACGUGGGUAACCUGCCCAUAAGACUGGGAUAACUCCGGGAAACCGGGGCUAAUACCGGAUAACAUUUUGAACCUCAUGGAUCGAAAUUGAAAGGCGGCUUCGGCUGUCACCUAUGGAUGGACCCGCGUCGCAUUAGCUAGUUGGUGAGGUAACGGCUCACCAAGGCACCGAUGCGUAGCCGACCUGGGAGGGUGAUCGGCCACACUGGGACUGGGACACGGCCCAGACUCCUACGGGAGGCAGCAGUAGGGAAUCUUCCGCAAUGGACGAAAGUCUGACGGAGCAACGCCGCGUGAGUGAUGAAGGCUUUCGGGUCGUAAAACUCUGUUGUUAGGGAAGAACAAGUGCUAGUUGAAUAAGCUGGCACCUUGACGGUACCUAACCAGAAAGCCACGGCUAACUACGUGCCAGCAGCCGCGGUAA